UAGCAUAAUGUUUAAUCUUUGAGUAUGUUGAAAGGUGAAAGAAAGAAAUAAUAGGAUGAUAAAAUAUCUAAAAGAGGAUAAUUUAUUGACUGAAGAAACUGAAAUACACGGCAUACCAGUCAAACAUAAGAAUAAUUUACUUCCUCCGGUCUUCUAAAAUGCAUGUCAUACCAGUCGAAUCUCUCCAUCCAUCUGUUUUGGCAGAUAUCACAGCAUAUGAAUAACUUUUCCCACAUAUUAUACUGAUCCAGUACAAUGGAAGAAUGCAGAUAAGGGACCAGGUUCUUCUUCACUACUAGACCAAUUCAUAGUCUAUAAGUAGAGUGUGGAUUCCAGCAAUCUUUAGCCAGUCCUCCGCUUUCUUGUUAUGUAAACGA
rnacentral:misc_RNA from 1 species